UCAAGCGCGAAAAGGGCGUUUGGUGGAUGCCUUGGCAGUAAGAGGCGAUGAAGGACGUGAUACUCUGCGAUAAGCUAUGGUAAGCCGAGAAUAGGCUUUGACCCAUAGAUCUCCGAAUGGGGGAACCCACCUGAUACUCGAUUAUUGAUAGCAUUGUUAUGAAUAAUUGGGUAAAACAGGUACUUUUAACCUGAAUACAUAGGGUUUUAAGAGCAAACCCGGGGAACUGAAACAUCUAAGUACCCGGAGGAAAGGAAAUCAAUAGAUACUUCGUUAGUAGUGGCGAGCGAACGCGAACCAGCCGAGCCGAGAUUGUGACUAGAACAUCCUGGAAAGGAUGGCCAUAGUGGGUGACAGCCCCGUAUAGGAAGCAUGAUUGGACGUAUUAAGUAGGGCGGGACACGUGAAAUCCUGUUUGAAGAUCGGGGGACCACCCCCGAAGGCUAAGUACUCCUUACUGACCGAUAGCGAACCAGUACCGUGAGGGAAAGGUGAAAAGCACCCCGACGAGGGGAGUGAAACAGUACCUGAAACCGAACGCCUACAAUCAGUUGGAGGGGCAUAAGCCCUGACAGCGUACCUUUUGUAUAAUGGGUCAUCGACUUGGUCUAUCUAGCAAGCUUAAGCCGUUAGGUGUAUGCGCAGCGAAAGCGAGUCUUAAUAGGGCGUUGAGUUAGAUGGAUCAGACCCGAAACCGAGUGAUCUAGGCAUGACCAGGAUGAAGGUAAGGUAACACUUACUGGAGGUCCGAACCCACACCUGUUGAAAAAGGUCGGGAUGAGUUGUGCCUAGGGGUGAAAGGCCAAUCAAACUCGGAGAUAGCUGGUUCUCCGCGAAAUCUAUUUAGGUAGAGCGUCAUCCGAAUACCCCGGGGGGUAGAGCACUGGAUGGGUAAUGGGGCCCCACAGGCUUACUGAUCCUAACCAAACUCCGAAUACCCGGGAGUACUAGAUGGCAGACACACUGCGGGUGCUAACGCCCGUAGUGGAGAGGGAAACAACCCUGACCUCCAGCUAAGGCCCCUAAUUCAUGGCUAAGUGGGAAAGCAGGUGAGACGGCCAAAACAACCAGGAGGUUGGCUUAGAAGCAGCCAUCCUUUAAAGAUAGCGUAACAGCUCACUGGUCUAAAUAAGCUGUCUUGCGGCGAAGAUGUAACGGGGCUCAAGCCAUGAGCCGAAGCUGAGGACAUCGCAAGAUGUGGUAGCGGAGCGUAGUGUGACAUAGAUUCUAUCCUCUUUAGUCGUCUUUGACGGCCUUGGAGGAUUGAGAAUCUUUCUGUGAAGCCGGGCUGUAAGGCAUCCGGUGGAGAGAUCACUAGUGAGAAUGAUGACAUGAGUAGCGACAAAGAGUGUGAGAGACACUCUCGCCGAAAGUCCAAGGGUUCCUGCUUAAAGCUAAUCUGAGCAGGGUAAGCCGACCCCUAAGUCGAGGCCGAAAGGCGUAGACGAUGGGAACCAGGUUAAUAUUCCUGGGCCAGGAAGAUGUGACGGAUCGUGAAGGUUGUUCACCCUUAUUGGAUUGGGUGGGCCGCUAAUCGGUUCCUGGAAAUAGCCUUCCAUCAGAUCGUACCCUAAACCGACACAGGUGGACUGGUAGAGAAUACCAAGGCGCUUGAGAGAACUAUGUUGAAGGAACUCGGCAAAAUACCUCCGUAAGUUCGCGAGAAGGAGGCCCAGUUUCUACGCAAGUAUUGACUGGGGGCACAAACCAGGGGGUGGCGACUGUUUACUAAAAACACAGGGCUCUGCGAAGUCGCAAGACGACGUAUAGGGUCUGACGCCUGCCCGGUGCCUGAAGGUUAAAAGGAGAUGUGAGAGCGUCGAAUUGAAGCCCAGGUAAACGGCGGCCGUAACUAUAACGGUCCUAAGGUAGCGAAAUUCCUUGUCGGGUAAGUUCCGACCUGCACGAAUGGCGUAACGACUUCCCCACUGUCGCACUGGCAUCAGGCACAGCAUGUGCAGGAUAGGUGGUGGGCUUUGAAGCAGUAACGCCAGUUAUUGUGGAGCCUCCCUUGAGAUACCACCCUUGUUCUGCUUGAUGUCUAACUGCGGUCCAUUAUCUGGAUCCAGGACCCUGCGUGGUGGGUAGUUUGACUGGGGCGGUCGCCUCCUAAAGAGUAACGGAGGCGCGCGAAGGUUGGCUCAGAGCGGUCGGACAUCGCUCGUUGAGUGCAAUGGCAGAAGCCAGCCUGACUGCGAGACUGACAAGUCGAGCAGAGUCGAAAGACGGCCAUAGUGAUCCGGUGGUCCCGCGUGGAAGGGCCAUCGCUCAACGGAUAAAAGGUACGCCGGGGAUAACAGGCUGAUACUGCCCAAGAGUCCAUAUCGACGGCAGUGUUUGGCACCUCGAUGUCGGCUCAUCUCAUCCUGGGGCUGGAGCAGGUCCCAAGGGUACGGCUGUUCGCCGUUUAAAGAGGUACGUGAGCUGGGUUUAGAACGUCGUGAGACAGUUCGGUCCCUAUCUGCCGUGGGUGUAGGAUACUUGAGAGGAGUUGCCCCUAGUACGAGAGGACCGGGGUGAACGAUCCACUGGUGGACCUGUUGUUGCGCCAGCAGCAGUGCAGGGUAGCUAUGAUCGGACAGGAUAACCGCUGAAGGCAUCUAAGCGGGAAGCCCCCCUCAAAACAAGGUAUCCCUGAGAGCCGUGGAAGACCACCACGUCGAUAGGCCGGAGAUGUAAGCAUGGUAACAUGUUCAGUUGACCGGUACUAAUGGCUCGAUAGGCUUGGUUUG
rnacentral:rRNA from 1 species